UACGUAGGGUGCAAGCGUUGUCCGGAAUUAUUGGGCGUAAAGCGCACGUAGGCGGAUUUGUAAGUCAGGGGUGAAAUCCCGGGGCUCAACCUCGGAACUGCCUUUGAUACUGCAAAUCUCGAGUCCGGAAGAGGUGAGUGGAAUUCCUAGUGUAGAGGUGAAAUUCGUAGAUAUUAGGAAGAACACCAGUGGCGAAGGCGGCUCACUGGUCCGGUACUGACGCUGAGGUGCGAAAGCGUGGGGGGCAAACAGG
rnacentral:rRNA from 1 species